GAUGGCCUCGUGCUACUACUGCAGUCGAGCGAGCGGCAACUAACAGAUUUACUUCGGCAAUGACGUUAGGAAAGCGAGCGGCGGAUGGGUGAGUAACACGUGGGGAACCUGCCCCAUAGUCUGGGAUACCACUUGGAAACAGGUGCUAAUACCGGAUAAGAAAGCAGAUCGCAUGAUCAGCUUUUAAAAGGCGGCGUAAGCUGUCGCUAUGGGAUGGCCCCGCGGUGCAUUAGCUAGUUGGUAAGGUAAAGGCUUACCAAGGCGAUGAUGCAUAGCCGAGUUGAGAGACUGAUCGGCCACAUUGGGACUGAGACACGGCCCAAACUCCUACGGGAGGCAGCAGUAGGGAAUCUUCCACAAUGGACGCAAGUCUGAUGGAGCAACGCCGCGUGAGUGAAGAAGGUUUUCGGAUCGUAAAGCUCUGUUGUUGGUGAAGAAGGAUAGAGGUAGUAACUGGCCUUUAUUUGACGGUAAUCAACCAGAAAGUCACGGCUAACUACGUGCCAGCAGCCGCGGUAAUACGUAGGUGGCAAGCGUUGUCCGGAUUUAUUGGGCGUAAAGCGAGCGCACGCGGAAGAAUAAGUCUGGAUGUGGAAAAGCCCUCGGGCCUUAAUCCGAGGAAGCUGCAUCGGAAACUGUUUUUCUUGAGUGCAGAAGAGGAGAGUGGAACUCCAUGUGUAGCGGUGGAAUGCGUAGAUAUAUGGAAGAACACCAGUGUACGAAGGCGGCUCUCUGGUCUGCAACUGACGCUGAGGCUCGAAAGCAUGGGUAGCGAACAGGAUUAGAUACCCUGCUAGUCCAUGCCGCUAAACGAUGAGUGCUAAGUUGCUAGCGAGGACUUCCCGCCUCUCAGCGUCUGCCAGCCUAAUCGCAAUUAAAGCAACACACCGGGCGAGGACCAACGCAAGGUUGAAACUCAAAGGAAUUGACGGGGGCCCGCACAAGCGGUGGAGCAUGUGGUUUAAUUCGAAGCAACGCGAAGAACCUUACCAGGUCUUGACAUCUAGUGCCAUUUGUAGAGAUACAAAGUUCCCUUCGGGGACGCUAAGACAGGUGGUGCAUGGCUGUCGUCAGCUCGUGUCGUGAGAUGUUGGGUUAAGUCCCGCAACGAGCGCAACCCUUGUUAUUAGUUGCCAGCAUUAAGUUGGGCACUCUAAUGAGACUGCCGGUGACAAACCGGAGGAAGGUGGGGAUGACGUCAAGUCAUCAUGCCCCUUAUGACCUGGGCUACACACGUGCUACAAUGGGCAGUACAACGAGAAGCGAGCCUGCGAAGGCAAGCGAAUCUCUGAAAGCUGUUCUCAGUUCGGACUGCAGUCUGCAACUCGACUGCACGAAGCUGGAAUCGCUAGUAAUCGCGGAUCAGCACGCCGCGGUGAAUACGUUCCCGGGCCUUGUACACACCGCCCGUCACACCAUGGGAGUCUGCAAUGCCCAAAGCCGGUGGCCUAACCUUCGGGAAGGAGCCGUCUAAGGCAGUUCGGGAGGC
rnacentral:rRNA from 1 species